rnacentral:rRNA from 1 species
GACGAACGCUGGCGGCGUGCCUAAUACAUGCAAGUCGAGCGGACUAAUGGGAGCUUGCUCCCGUUAGUUAGCGGCGGACGGGUGAGUAACACGUGGGCAACCUACCUGUAAGACUGGGAUAACUUCGGGAAACCGGAGCUAAUACCGGAUGACAUAAAGGAACUCCGGGUGCUUUAUUGAAAGAUGGCUUCGGCUAUAAAUUACAGAUGGGCCCGCGGCGCAUUAGCUAGUUGGUGAGGUAACGGCUCACCAAGGCGACGAUGCGUACCCGACCUUAGAGGGUGAUCGGCCACACUGGGACUGAGACACGGCCCAGACUCCUACGGGAGGCAGCAGUAGGGAAUCUUCCGCAAUGGACGAAAGUCUGACGGAGCAACGCCGCGUGAGCGAUGAAGGCCUUCGGGUCGUAAAGCUCUAUUGUUAGGGAAGAAUAAGUGCUAGUUGAAUAAGCUGGCACCUUGACGGUACCUAACCAGAAAGCCACGGCUAACUACGUGCCAGCCGCCGCGGUAACAC